CCUACGGGAGGCAGCAGUGGGGAAUAUUGGACAAUGGGCGCAAGCCUGAUCCAGCAAUGCCGCGUGAGUGAAGAAGGCCCUAGGGUUGUAAAGCUCUUUCGUCAGGGAAGAUAAUGACGGUACCUGAAGAAGAAGCCCCGGCUAACUCCGUGC
rnacentral:rRNA from 1 species